rnacentral:lncRNA from 1 species
UAAAGUUGCCAUAAUAUGCAUUUUGGGUAAAUUGAAUAGAAUGAUAAUUAAAUAAGCUACAUUUGAUUACAUAUAGAUUAAGAAAAGUGAAGUUCAGAUUUAGAUCAGGGGAAAAACAAAAUGUUGGACUGAUCGACUCAUUUCAUUGUUUUUGCAUCGAGGUAAGUUGUAUGUUAAUAAGCAUCAAUAUAAUUUUGUUUUAAAUGCUUUAUUAUUGAUUUAUUUGUGAAUACAACCUUGCG